CGCCAUGAAGGUUUAGUGAAAGAAAGUAAUCCAAAAAUGUCGAAGAGCUGAGUCUUGAAAAAGCAUAACAAGACUUUCCUAGAUUGGUUUGAAGAUACAAUCUUUGCUGAUGAGAAUGCUUCUAAAACAUUAAGAAAACUAGCAGAUGGGCCUAAAAGAAAUGUUAUAACUUGGCAAGGAUACGAUAUAAACAAGUUUUUUUUAUACAAAAGCACAAGAUGAGAAAAGUACAAUGCAAAAUAGCGGGGUCACCCUAAGGGCUAAAUCUCAACACGUCGCCAGUGUACAUGAUAACAAUCCCUGUGUAGCUUCCAUCCCUUACUUUGGGUUCAUUGAACAAAUUUGGGAGCUUAACUAUGUCAAAUUUACUUUUUUUGUUUUCAUAUGUAAAUAGGUUGAUAACAACACCGGUGUGCGGAUCGAUGAUGUAGGAUUUAUGUUGGUAGAUCUAAAGAAACUCGCUUACCAGAAUGACCCUUUCAUCAUGGCAGAACAAGCUAAACAAGUAUUUUAUGUUCAAGACCCUUGUGAUGAAAGGUGGUCAGUGGUUCUACAUGGGAAAACAAUUGGUGUUAAUGUUGAAGAUGAUGAUUCAUGCAUUGAUAUUUACGUUAGUCCUUUGUCCACACAAAUGUCGCGUAACAUUGUUAGAGAAGAAGCUGACAAUGUUCAUACUAAUUGUAAUGAUCAUGAUGAAGGAGAAUUAAUUAACAUCGUCUAAUCAAAUGGCUACUCCACCCAGCUCUCGUCGUCGUCGUUGUCCUCCUCCUACUGGUGCAGCAUCACAAUCGCCGUCUACCUUGAAGCGGACAAGAAAAGCCACACAGCUAAGAUCAUUGGCGACUAGACUAGCUGGGACAGAGACACCGCUGGUCCAUGUAGAUCCUGCGACGGGAAGGCCAAUGGUUCCCACAAAAAGAAGUUAAGAACAUAUUUGGGGAUCGUCGCUCGUGAUAAGGUCGAUGUGACAUACGAGAAUUGGAAGCAAGUCCCUACUGCUCGGAAGGAUUUGAUAUGGAAGGAUAUUCAGGUUGAAUUUGAUAUCCCUGAAGCAUCUGAUGUAAGGACAAAAAAGAAAAUACUUUAGACUAUGAGAGAGCAGUGGAGACAAUUUAAGUCUGAUUUGACGUCCAAAUGGGCAUUUGUAGCCGACAAGGACAGUGUCGAUGACAUUAUAUGCGAAAAGUACAACAUUAGCAAGGAGAAAUGAGCCCAAUUUUGUCAGAGUCGUAGAGACCCUUCGUGGGAGAUGUGCAGAAAAAGGCACAGGCCAGCCAUAAGCAAAACACUGCUCCCCAUGUGUUGUCUCGUGGGGGUUAUGAAUAUUUAGAAAAGAAGCUGAUGGAUGAGAAGACAAAAAAAAAAAAUAUAGGAAGCUACUCAAUCCGGAAGCACUAACACCAUGAUCUAUCCUCCAUCUCCCAUCAGAUGGCACGUCAAAUGCAAGAUGACCCGCACGAAGAAAAUUGACCAGAUGACGUAUGAGGCAGCAAAGGAAAUUGCUGACAAGAUUGAUUCGUUGGAGGAGCAGGUGCCACAGGGUUGUUGUCCAUGGACGUCAGAAUGUUCUGACUGCUACCAUUGGGCGACCAGAACACCCCAGUCGUGUGGGUGCUGCUAGAGCCGGUGUGACGAUCAAGCAAUACUUUGGACCGACUAGAGGAGUUGAUCACAAAAAAAGUGACUCGAUAACUAAUGUUAUCGUUAAGCUAGAUGUAGUCCCAGUUUCAGUCGCAGAUACAAUCACAGGGACUUGCACUGCCUCCUGAGCCUGAGGUUGGUCCUUCAGCCGCUCGUGUCAGCACAAAGGAGAGUUGUAUUGAUCACUCAGGGAACGAUCCAGACAUGUGUGACUCAGACAAAUGCGGGUUGUACAUCGAUGAAAAUCCUCCUCGCCUGGUUGCCCUAGGAAGAGUUUAUGAGGGAUCCAUAAUCAUUCACAACAUCCCUUUGUUGCAUGAUCAAGUGAAGGUCGGUGUUGAGGAGGUUAGAGAUGCAGAUGCUCUUAUUCCUGUACCCAUUGAAGAGGUUAAGUUAGUGGGGUAGACACUUAACACCUUCCUUACUUGGCCAACACAUCUGGUCAAGUGUUUAUCAGAACAAGUAUUUCAGUGUCACUAAAUGCUUCAUUUUUCAAUUAAAAUGUUCACUGUAAUAAAAUUAUGUUGGAUAAACAAGGAGUUGUUGGACCAAUAAAACCUGCAGAUUGGCCGGAUCAUGAGGUUGAUGAUCCCCUAUAUCUGAUGACAUUGACCAUCCCACAAAUUUUUCUGAAGCCAUUGUAGGUUAUGUGGGAUGCUACCGUGUUCGGGGUGUUUAAUGAAUACUUUCCCUUGUACAUAAAGUAUGAAGAUUUGUUUAAAAUAGCACUGUUAGUCUAUGAAUACGACUAACUUUUGUGUAUAAAACAUAUGUAUAUUGUAUCAAACUUUCCCAA